GGUGUGUAGGCGGUUGCUUAAGUUUGGUGUGAAAUCUCCCGGCUCAACUGGGAGGGUGCGCCGAAUACUGAGUGACUCGAGUGCGGGAGAGGAAAGUGGAAUUCCUGGUGUAGCGGUGAAAUGCGUAGAUAUCAGGAGGAACACCGGUGGUGUAGACGGCUUUCUGGACCGUAACUGACGCUGAGACACGAAAGCGUGGGUAGCAAACAGGAUUAGAUACCCUGGUAGUCCACGCCCUAAACGAUGCACAUUUGGUGUGGGCAGUUCAUUCUGUCCGUGCCGGAGCUAACGCGUUAAAUGUGCCGCCUGGGGAGUACAGUCGCAAGGCUGAAACUCAAAGGAAUUGACGGGGGCCCGCACAAGCGGUGGAGCAUGUGGUUCAAUUCGACGCAACGCGAAGAACCUUACCUGGGCUCGAACGGCUGGUCAACGGCGGUGGAAACAUCGCUACCCCGCAAGGGGGUCCAGUCGAGGUGCUGCAUGGCUGUCGUCAGCUCGUGUCGUGAGAUGUUGGGUUAAGUCCCGCAACGAGCGCAACCCUUGUCCUGUGUUGCCAUGCCGAAAGGCGGAACUCGCAGGAGACCGCCAGCGAUAAGCUGGAGGAAGGUGGGGAUGACGU
rnacentral:rRNA from 1 species